rnacentral:rRNA from 1 species
UACGUAGGUGGCAAGCGUUGUCCGGAAUUAUUGGGCGUAAAGCGCGCGCAGGCGGUCCUUUAAGUCUGAUGUGAAAGCCCACGGCUCAACCGUGGAGGGUCAUUGGAAACUGGGGAACUUGAGUGCAGAAGAGGAAAGUGGAAUUCCUGGUGUAGCGGUGAAAUGCGCAGAUAUCAGGAAGAACACCAAUGGCGAAAGCAGCUCUCUGGGACGGUACCGACGCUGAGACGCGAAAGCGUGGGGAGCGAACAGG